CCAGAUGACUGGGCGGUCGCUGUGGAUGUGAGAUCUCUCACGAAGCAGAGGAAAGUCCGGGCUCCACGGUAAUAUGGCGGCGGGUAACUCCCGCCGGGGGUGACCCCAGGGAUAGCGCCACAGAGAGCAGACCGCCGGACUCCGGUUCGGCAAGGGUGAAAGGGUGCGGUAAGAGCGCACCGCGUUUCCGGCAACGGACACGGCAUGGCAAGCCCCGUCAGGAGCAAGACCAAAUAGGAACGGCGCGUCGUACCGGGCAACCGGCGACAGGGCAUUACCGCCCCAGACCGUUCGGGUAGGUUGCGUGAGCCGUCCAGCAAUGGCCGGCCAAGAGGAAUGAUCGCCCACGCGGAGGCAACUCCGCUGGACAGAACCCGGCUUACAGGUCAUCUGGCCCA
rnacentral:RNase_P_RNA from 2 species